AGAGUUUGAUCAUGGCUCAGGACGAACGCUGGCGGCGUGCCUAAUACAUGCAAGUCGAGCGGAGUUAUUCCUUCGGGGAUAGCUUAGCGGCGGACGGGUGAGUAACACGUAGGUAACCUGCCUGUAAGACUGGGAUAACUAUCGGAAACGAUAGCUAAGACCGGAUACGAGUUUUCCUCGCAUGAGGGAGAUUGGAAAAG
rnacentral:rRNA from 1 species